rnacentral:rRNA from 1 species
UCUGGUGACUUGUCGCAAGGGUCACACCUGUUCUCAUUCCGAACACAGAAGUUAAGCCUUGCAGAGGCGAUGAUACUCUUUCGAGGGGAAAGUAGCUCGUCGCCAGAA